rnacentral:rRNA from 1 species
AUUGAACGCUGGCGGCAGGCCUAACACAUGCAAGUCGAACGGUAACAGGAAGAAGCUUGCUUCUUUGCUGACGAGUGGCGGACGGGUGAGUAAUGUCUGGGAAACUGCCUGAUGGAGGGGGCUAACUACUGGAAACGGUAGCUACUACCGCAUAACGUCGCAAGCCCAAAGAGGGGGACCUUCGGGCCUCUUUCCAUCUGAUGUGCCCAGAUGGGAUUAGCUAGUAGGUGGGGUAACGGCUCACCUAGGCGACGAUCCCUAGCUGGUCUGAGAGGAUGACCAGCCACACUGGAACUGAGACACGGUCCAGACUCCUACGGGAGGCAGCAGUGGGGAAUAUUGCACAAUGGGCGAAAGCCUGAUGCAGCCAUGCCGCGUGUAUGAAGAAGGCCUUCGGGUUGUAAAGUACUUUCAGCGGGGAGGAAGGGAGUAAAGUUAAUACCUUUGCUCAUUGACGUUACCCGCAGAAGAAGCACCGGCUAACUCCGUG